rnacentral:rRNA from 1 species
AGAACGAACGCUGGCGGCACGCCUAACACAUGCAAGUCGAGCGCCCAGCAAUGGGAGCGGCGGACGGGUGAGUAACACGUGGGAAUAUGCCUUUCGGUACGGAACAACUCAGGGAAACUUGAGCUAAUGCCGUAUACGCCCUUACGGGGAAAGAUUUAUCGCCGAAAGAUUAGCCCGCGUCUGAUUAGCUAGUUGGUGAGGUAAUGGCUCACCAAGGCUUCGAUCAGUAGCUGGUUUGAGAGAACGACCAGCCACACUGGGACUGAGACACGGCCCAGACUCCUACGGGAGGCAGCAGUGGGGAAUCUUGGACAAUGGGGGAAACCCUGAUCCAGCGAUGCCGCGUGAGUGAUGAAGGCCUUCGGGUUGUAAAACUCUUUCGACGGGGACGAUAAUGACGGUACCGUAGAAGAAGCUCCGGCUAACUUCGUGCCAGCGCCGC